GCUGAAUGAGAAGGGAGAGAGAGACAUCGAGCCGUUGCCAAGAAACGAGCUGUUCUGACGCGCGCCCAGAUGGGCCCGUCGCCGUGGAGAUCGGGAAGGUGGGGUGACGUUAGAGCCAAGGGAGGAGGGAGGGAGCAGCUCUAACCUUUCGAUCCACCACGUGAUCAUUUGUUAUCAUGGCAGCGGGGGUCGCCCCCUGCCGGAGCCACUGCGGCCCGAGUUAACCCUCCGCGUGCCUGGGUUCGGGCAGGAUUAAACCCGAUCUGUUCCAGAGCCCAGGUGAAGAUUUAGCCUUUUAGACGCCAGAGUCAAACUAGGUCUUAAGUGCUUCCCCGCCACCGCCGUAAGGAACCAUCUUAUCUGAGACCUUGGUUAAUCCCACCGAUGCCAGAGCCUCCUCCGUCAAGUAGAUUUAACCACUUGUGCAUCGCGACACAGGCAGACAAGACAGAGCGCCGGAAUAGGAUGAUAAAUCUGCACGCACUAGAGCCCGGGCAGGAAAUUUCAGCGUUUUGUAGAUGAACGACCUGUAUGCCCGAACCCAGCCGCCUAGUCCAACGCUUCCUUCGCAGACUUCUCUGGGAAUGUGAGGGAUGGAAAGGGGAAGGGAAACCCCUCCAUUUGUUGGUCAUAAGGAGCAAAUUGGCAGUGCUUCAAGAUGAAAUCUGCUUGCAUGGAUACAUUCAAAGUGUGGCCACAGCGGCCCAUGUCCACAGUUUGUUUUCAAAAAGUAAAGUGUUAAAAGUCAAAA